UUCGUCGAAUAACUUUUAAUCUGGUUAAUAUAGUACCGGAACUUCGUUGCAGCGUCAUGAUAGUGCAUUUAAUAUUUAAAUCGUAUGACAUAAUCGAUCAUCGCAGUUGUAUCAAAAAUGUACAAGUCAAUGGACGAAAAUGAAGCACCUCCUGCAACAGUCAAAGCUUCUCAAAUCAGAGCCAAUGAAACGCAAGAUGAGAACGUUCCAUCUCUCGCGCUCCUAAUAUUAGAGGUGAUGCUAUUGGUCAUAUCGUUCGAUCAAAAUGGCGGCUUGAAUGAAGAGCAAUUUAUCAUCAUUUUCCGGGUUUUCUAGUCUGCCAACCACUUCUAUUAUGUCUGGAGAGUAAUGUUCAAACCAAUUGUAAUGCGAAAUACGACAAUUGAGUAUAUCAAAAUGAAUGACUUAUCAAAUCCUUCACCAUACAUUGGAGAGAAUUCAUGCCCCUCAUCUGGUAGCCACUUUACCAUCCUUGUAUGAUUCAUUUGCAAAGUCAAAAUAUAGAGUACGGUUGUAACUAUUUACUAGAGCGUUUGAACUGGGAGAGUAAGCAUGUGAAUGUAAUGGUAGAAGUCUCAAUGUAAAAAUGUAAAAAAAAGGCUGAGGUGGCAUAUCAUACACCACCAGAUUUCUCCCUGGGUUUAACAAGGAAAUUAAUGACAAUUAGGAGUGGCAAUCUUGCAUUCUUUAGAUUUUAACCCCUUCUUUGGGUGUUGUGGAUUUCAAUUUACUGAGUGUGUCGUAGUUAAUUUAUUUGAAUGUCUAUGUCAUUAAGGCAGAAGUUUUCCCUGAAACAGGAGUUAUAAUUAAAGUAGGAUUUUGAGUACUUGUUUUAUUGCAAGAUGAAAAUAAUAGUCCAGUGAUCAGCAUGUAAUUUAAAGCUGAUUAAUAGAUUUGACAUCAUAAGUGGUGUACUAAAGAAGGAACAAUGGAUUGGCUUGAUUUAGUAAGAAGUUACACUUAUCAAAACUAUUUCAAAAAUAAUUUUCAUUUUUCCUUUACCAUGUAAUUUAGAAAUCAAAAAUGUGUGUCUCUUGUUAGAUUUGAUCUUUGCCCAAGGGUGUUGUCUAAUCAUUAUCAAGUAAUUGAACGUUAGGUUUAACACAAUCUUGUCCUAUUCGAAAGGUAAUUUGGUAGUAUCAAAUAAGUUG